CCUACGGGUGGCAGCAGUGGGGAAUAUUGCGCAAUGGGCGAAAGCCUGACGCAGCGACGCCGCGUGAGGGAAGAAGGCUUUCGGGUUGUAAACCUCUAUUAGCAGGGAAGAAUUGAUGACGUUACCUUCCGCAGAAGGUACGGCGAACUACGUCCCAGCAGCCGCGCUAAUACGGAGGGGGCAAGCGUGAUCCGGAGUUACUGGGUGUCAAGGGUGCGUAGACGGCAGUGCAAGUCUGGAGUGAAAGGCGUGGGCUAAACCAUCGGACUGCUUUGGAAACUGUACGGCUGGAGUGCUGGAGAGGUAAGUGGAAUUCCUAGUGUAGCGGUGAAAUGCGUAGAUAUUAGGAGGAACACCAGUGGCGAAGGCGGCUUACUGGACUGUAACUGACGUUGAGGCGCGAAAGCGUGGGGAGCAAACAGGAUUAGAUACCCGAGUAGUC
rnacentral:rRNA from 1 species